rnacentral:rRNA from 1 species
UACGGGGGGGGGCAAGCGUUGUUCGGAAUUACUGGGCGUAAAGGGCUCGUAGGCAGCCCCUCUCAGUCGGAUGUGAAAUCCCCAGGCUUAACCUGGGAACGGCAUCCGAUACUGGAGGGCUUGAAUUCGGGAGAGGGAUGCAGAAUUCCAGGUGUAGCGGUGAAAUGCGUAGAUAUCUGGAGGAAUACCGGUGGCGAAGGCGGCAUCCUGGACCGAGAUUGACGCUGAGGAGCGAAAGCUAGGGGAGCAAACGGG